UACGUAGGGUGCAAGCGUUGUCCGGAAUUAUUGGGCGUAAAGAGCUCGUAGGCGGUUUGUCGCGUCUGCUGUGAAAACUCAGGGCUUAACCCUGAGCUUGCAGUGGGUACGGGCAGACUAGAGUGCGGUAGGGGAGACUGGAAUUCCUGGUGUAGCGGUGAAAUGCGCAGAUAUCGGGAGGAACACCAGUGGCGAAGGCGACACGCUGGGCCGUACCUGACACUGAUGCGCGACAGCAUGGGGAGCAAACAGG
rnacentral:rRNA from 1 species